GACGUAGGGGACUAGCGUUGUUCGGAAUUACUGGGCGUAAAGAGCGCGUAGGCGGUCAUAUAAGUUGGAAGUGAAAGCCCAGGGCUUAACCCUGGAACUGCUUUCAAAACUGUGUGACUAGAGUAUGGUAGGGGGUGAUGGAAUUCCAAGUGUAGAGGUGAAAUUCUUAGAUAUUUGGAGGAACACCGGUGGCGAAGGCGAUCACCUGGACCAAUACUGACGCUGAGGCGCGAAAGCGUGGGGAGCAAACAGG
rnacentral:rRNA from 1 species